rnacentral:sRNA from 1 species
UGUCAAUCAAAGCAUGACAUGAUGAGAU